rnacentral:rRNA from 1 species
GAGUUUGAUCCUGGCUCAGAUUGAACGCUGGCGGCAGGCUUAACACAUGCAAGUCGAACGGUAACAGAACUAGCUUGCUAGUUGCUGACGAGUGGCGGACGGGUGAGUAACGCGUAGGAAUCUACCGAGUAGUGGGGGACAACAGUUGGAAACGACUGCUAAUACCGCAUAAUCCCUGAGGGGGAAAGGAGGGGAUCUGUUUACAGACCUUUCGCUAUUUGAUGAGCCUGCGUGAGAUUAGCUAGUUGGUGAGGUAAUGGCUCACCAAGGCGACGAUCUUUAGCUGGUCUGAGAGGACGAUCAGCCACAUUGGGACUGAGACACGGCCCAGACUCCUACGGGAGGCAGCAGUGGGGAAUAUUGGACAAUGGGCGCAAGCCUGAUCCAGCCAUACCGCGUGUGUGAAGAAGGCCUUCGGGUUGUAAAGCACUUUAAGCAGGGAGAAAAAGUUAUAAGUUAAUACCUUAUAACCCUGAUGUUACCUGCAGAAUAAGCACCGGCUAAUUCCGUGCCAGCAGCCGCGGUAAUACGGAAGGUGCAAGCGUUAAUCGGAAUUACUGGGCGUAAAGCGCGCGUAGGUGGUUUGUUAAGUUGGAUGUGAAAGCCCUGGGCUCAACCUAGGAACUGCAUCCAAAACUAACUCACUGGAGUACGAUAGAGGGAGGUAGAAUUCAUAGUGUAGCGGUGGAAUGCGUAGAUAUUAUGAAGAAUACCAGUGGCGAAAGCGGCCUCCUGGAUCUGUACUGACACUGAGGUGCGAAAGCGUGGGUAGCGAACAGGAUUAGAUACCCUGGUAGUCCACGCCGUAAACGAUGACAACUAGCUGUUGGGAGACUAUGUCUUUCAGUGGCGCAGCUAACGCUUUAAGUUGUCCGCCUGGGGAGUACGGCCGCAAGGCUAAAACUCAAAUGAAUUGACGGGGACCCGCACAAGCGGUGGAGCAUGUGGUUUAAUUCGAUGCAACGCGAAAAACCUUACCUACUCUUGACAUACUUGGAGGCUCUUGUAAUGAGAGUGUGCCUUUUGGAACCAAGAUACAGGUGCUGCAUGGCUGUCGUCAGCUCGUGUCGUGAGAUGUUCCGUUAAGUCGGAUAACGAGCGCAACCCUUACCCUUAUUUGCCAGCGAUUCGGUCGGGAACUAUAAGGGGACUGCCGGUGAUAAACCGGAGGAAGGUGAGGACGACGUCAAGUCAUCAUGGCCCUUACGAGUAGGGCUACACACGUGCUACAAUGGGAGAUACAGACGGACGCUAAGCCGCGAGGUGGUGCUAAUCCUAAAAAGUCUUUCGUAGUCCGGAUUGGAGUCUGCAACUCGACUCCAUGAAGUCGGAAUCGCUAGUAAUCGCGGAUCAGCAUGCCGCGGUGAAUACGUUCUCGGGUCUUGUACACACCGCCCGUCACACCAUGGAAGUGGAUUGCACCAGAAGUAGAUAGUCUAACCUUAGGGAGGGCGUUUACCACGGUGUGCUUCAUGACUGGGGUGAAGUCGUAACAAGGUAACC